rnacentral:rRNA from 1 species
UACGGAGGGUGCGAGCGUUGUCCGGAAUCACUGGGCGUAAAGGGCGCGUAGGCGGCGCGAGUAGUCAACGGUGAAAGCCCGGGGCUCAACCCCGGGUCGGCCGUCGAUACUCUCGUGCUUGAGCACUGUAGAGGCAGGUGGAAUUCCGGGUGUAGCGGUGGAAUGCGUAGAGAUCCGGAAGAACACCGGUGGCGAAGGCGGCCUGCUGGGCAGUAACUGACGCUGAGGAGCGAAAGCGUGGGGAGCGAACAGG